rnacentral:rRNA from 1 species
GACGAACGCUGGCGGCGUGCCUAAUACAUGCAAGUAGAACGCUGAAGGAGGAGCUUGCUUCUCUGGAUGAGUUGCGAACGGGUGAGUAACGCGUAGGUAACCUGCCUGGUAGCGGGGGAUAACUAUUGGAAACGAUAGCUAAUACCGCAUAAUAGUAGAUGUUGCAUGACAUUUGCUUAAAAGGUGCAAUUGCAUCACUACCAGAUGGACCUGCGUUGUAUUAGCUAGUUGGUGGGGUAACGGCUCACCAAGGCGACGAUACAUAGCCGACCUGAGAGGGUGAUCGGCCACACUGGGACUGAGACACGGCCCAGACUCCUACGGGAGGCAGCAGUAGGGAAUCUUCGGCAAUGGACGGAAGUCUGACCGAGCAACGCCGCGUGAGUGAAGAAGGUUUUCGGAUCGUAAAGCUCUGUUGUAAGAGAAGAACGAGUGUGAGAGUGGAAAGUGCACACUGUGACGGUAUCUUACCAGAAAGGGACGGCUAACUACGUG